rnacentral:rRNA from 1 species
UGGGAUGACGUCAAGUCCUCAUGGCCUUUAUGUCUAGGGCUACACACGUACUACAAUGGCCGGUACAAAGGGCAGCCACUCAGCGAUGAGGCGCUAAUCCCAUAAAGCCGGUCUCAGUCCGGAUCGCAGUCUGCAACUCGACUGCGUGAAGUUGGAAUCGCUAGUAAUCGUAGAUCAGCAUGCUACGGUGAAUACGUUCCCGGGCCUU